CUGACGAGUGGCGGACGGGUGAGUAAUGCUUGGGAAUCUGGCUUAUGGAGGGGGAUAACGACGGGAAACUGUCGCUAAUACCGCGUAGUGUCGAGAGACGAAAGGGUGGGACUUUUAGACCACCUGCCAUAGGAUGAGCCCAAGUGGGAUUAGGUAGUUGGUGGGGUAAAGGCCCACCAAGCCAGCGAUCUCUAGCUGGUCUGAGAGGAUGACCAGCCACACUGGAACUGAGACACGGUCCAGACUCCUACGGGAGGCAGCAGUGGGGAAUAUUGCGCAAUGGGGGGAACCCUGACGCAGCCAUGCCGCGUGAAUGAAGAAGGCCUUCGGGUUGUAAAGUUCUUUCGGUAUUGAGGAAGGUUGAUGUGUUAAUAGCACAUCAAAUUGACGUUAAAUACAGAAGAAGCACCGGCUAACUCCGUGCCAGCAGCCGCGGUAAUACGGAGGGUGCGAGCGUUAAUCGGAAUAACUGGGCGUAAAGGGCACGCAGGCGGUUAUUUAAGUGAGGUGUGAAAGCCCUGGGCUUAACCUAGGAAUUGCAUUUCAGACUGGGUAACUAGAGUACUUUAGGGAGGGGUAGAAUUCCACGUGUAGCGGU
rnacentral:rRNA from 1 species